CAAGGGAUCCCCGCGCUUGGCCUGCGGACUCCUGGCCCUGUGCUCUCCGCACACCGCGGAGGGUGGUCCUUGUCGCGUCCCAAGUCCAGGUGAAUGAACAGAACCUGCGGAAGAUGACAAGUACAGUUUCCUUUCCACUAGAAAAAAGACUGAGCUGAAGAUUGCUAAAAGUGAUAAAGCAAGUGAAAGAGCACAGUGUUCCUAGAUUCAAAGACUUCAGGCUGAUGAAAGAGAAAAGAAUGAUCAUUUGUGAUAUUUACAUUGGGCGAUAUUUUAAUGUUUCUUUGAGAUGUUUUCAUACUUAAAUAUCAAUUAUAACCCAACAGGAAGUAUUAGAUUCCAUUUUGAAAUUGGCUUAUUUCUAUACUUUGAAAUUGAAGAUAAUUUUAAAUUAAACGUAAAUAAAU
rnacentral:lncRNA from 1 species